GACGAACGCUGGCGGCGUGCUUAACACAUGCAAGUCGAACGGAAAGGCCCUGCUUUUGUGGGGUGCUCGAGUGGCGAACGGGUGAGUAACACGUGAGUAACCUGCCCUUGACUUUGGGAUAACUUCAGGAAACUGGGGCUAAUACCGGAUAGGAGCUCCUGCUGCAUGGUGGGGGUUGGAAAGUUUCGGCGGUUGGGGAUGGACUCGCGGCUUAUCGGCUUGUUGGUGGGGUAGUGGCUUACCAAGGCUUUGACGGGUAGCCGGCCUGAGAGGGUGACCAGGCUCAAGGGGACUGAGGUACGGCACAGAAUCCUACGGUAGGCAGCAGGCGGAAGCCUGGCACAAUGACGCGGAGCCUGAUGCGGAAGCGCCGCGAGCGGGAUAGUCGCCUACGGGUUGUGAACAGCUUUCGCAUGUGAUGAAGCGUGAGUGACGGUAAUGGGUAAGGAAGCACCGGCUAACUACGUG
rnacentral:rRNA from 1 species